rnacentral:rRNA from 1 species
GACGAACGCUGGCGGCGUGCUUAACACAUGCAAGUCGAACGGAAAGGCCCUGCUUUUGUGGGGUGCUCGAGUGGCGAACGGGUGAGUAACACGUGAGUAACCUGCCCUUGACUUUGGGAUAACUUCAGGAAACUGGGGCUAAUACCGGAUAGGAGCUCCUGCUGUAUGGUGGGGGUUGGAAAGUUUCGGUGGGUGGGCAUGGACUCGCGGCUUAUCAGCUUGGUGGUGGGGUAGUGGCUUAGCAAGGAUUCGACGCGUAGCCGGACUGAGAGGGUGACCGGCCCCAUUGUAACUGGGGUGCGGCCCGGACUCCUACGGGAGGCAGCGGUGGAGAAUAUUGCACAAUAGGCGGAAGCCUGAUGCAGCAACGCCGCGUCCGGUAUGUCGGCCUUCAGGUUGUAAACCGCUUUCGCCUGUGACGAAGCGAGAGUGACGGUAAUGGGUAAAGAAGCACCGGCUAACUACGUG